CGAUGGUGGUUCAUGCCAACUUGGUUUCAGCAAGAGAUUUUGGAGUUCAACAAAUCAGCAGACGAGCUGUACUGUACAUAUCUACAGGAAUGUAAAGUAGGAGGUAAUAUAAAAAAGUGUGAGAAGAUAUUCGUGCCAAUGUGGCACGAUGAGCAU